rnacentral:tRNA from 2 species
GGGGGUGUAGCUCAGCUGGGAGAGCACCUGCCCUGCAAGCAGGGGGUCAAGGGUUCGAUUCCCUUCAUCUCCA